rnacentral:ribozyme from 11 species
GAGAGAGCGAGGGAUUUCCAGACUGCGGGGGAAGGGAGGCCGGGAGGAAGGUUGCGGAGGGAGAGAGAGAGGGCACUGGAACAGAGAGCACAUG